AGCGAACGCUGGCGGCAGGCCUAACACAUGCAAGUCGAACGAACCCUUCGGGGUUAGUGGCGGACGGGUGAGUAACACGUGGGAACGUGCCUUUAGGUUCGGAAUAACUCAGGGAAACUUGUGCUAAUACCGAAUGUGCCCUUCGGGGGAAAGAUUUAUCGCCCAAGGAUGAGCCCGCGUAGGAUUAGCUAGUUGGUAGGGUAAAGGCCUACCAAGGCGACGAUCCUUAGCUGGUCUGAGAGGAUGAUCAGCCACACUGGGACUGAGACACGGCCCAGACUCCUACGGGAGGCAGCAGUGGGAAAUAUUGGACAAUGGGCGAAAGCUUGAUCCAGCAAUGCCGCGUGAGUGAUGAAGGCCCUAGGGUUGUAAAGCUCUUUUACCCGGGAUGAUAAUGACAGUACCGGGAGAAUAAGCCCCGGCUAACUCCGUGCCAGCAGCCGCGGUAAAAC
rnacentral:rRNA from 1 species